rnacentral:rRNA from 1 species
GACGAACGCUGGCGGCGUGCUUAACACAUGCAAGUCGUACGGUAAGGCCCUUUCGGGGGUCCACGAGUGGCGAACGGGUGAGUAGCACGUGCGUAACCUGCCCACAACUUUGGGAUAACGCUAGGAAACUGGUGCUAAUACUGGAUAUGUGCUCCUGCUGCAUGGUGGGGGUUGGAAAGCUCCGGCGGUUGUGGAUGGACUCGCGGCCUAUCAGCUUGUUGGUGGGGUAGUGGCCUACCAAGGCGGCGACGGGUAGCCGGCCUGGGAGGGUGACCGGCCACAUUGGGACUGAGAUACGGCCCAGACUCCGACGGGAGGCAGCAGGGGGGAAUAUUGCACAAGGGGCGCAAGCCUGAUGCAGCAACGCCGCGGGCGGGAGGACGGCCUUCGGGUUGUAAACCGCUUUCAGCAGGGACGAAGCUUUUUGUGACGGUACCUGCAGAAGAAGCACCGGCUAACUACGUG